rnacentral:rRNA from 1 species
UCGAGGGGCAGCGGGGCGGCAGGCUUGCCUGCCGCCGCCGGCGACCGGCGCACGGGUGAGUAACACGUAUGCAACCUGCCCGUGGCAGGGGGAUAAGCGGGGGAAACCCCGUCUAAUACCGCGUAACGCGGCCUAGGGACAUCCCAAGGCCGCCAAAGGGAGCAAUCCCGGCCACGGAUGGGCAUGCGGCGCAUUAGCUAGUCGGCGGGGUAACGGCCCACCGAGGCGACGAUGCGUAGGGGUUCUGAGAGGAAGGCCCCCCACACUGGUACUGAGACACGGACCAGACUCCUACGGGAGGCAGCAGUGAGGAAUAUUGGUCAAUGGGCGCGAGCCUGAACCAGCCAAGUCGCGUGAGGGAGGACGGCCCUACGGGUUGUAAACCUCUUUUGCCGGGGAGCAACGGGCGCCACGUGUGGCGCCACUGAGAGUACCCGGAGAAAAAGCAUCGGCUAACUCCGUGCCAGCAGCCGCGGUAAUACGGAGGAUGCGAGCGUUAUCCGGAUUUAUUGGGUUUAAAGGGUGCGUAGGCGGAUCGUUAAGUCAGUGGUCAAAUUGAGGGGCUCAACCCCUUCCCGCCAUUGAAACUGGCGAUCUUGAGUGGAAGAGAAGUAUGCGGAAUGCGUGGUGUAGCGGUGAAAUGCAUAGAUAUCACGCAGAACCCCGAUUGCGAAGGCAGCAUGCCGGCUUCCUACUGACGCUGAAGCACGAAAGCGUGGGGAUCGAACAGGAUUAGAUACCCUGGUAGUCCACGCGGUAAACGAUGAGCGCUAGGUGUCCGGGGGGAAUGGCCCCUGGGUGCCACAGCGAAAGCGUUAAGCGCUCCACCUGGGGAGUACGCCGGCAACGGUGAAACUCAAAGGAAUUGACGGGGGCCCGCACAAGCGGAGGAACAUGUGGUUUAAUU